UAUCUAGGGGAGGAGGGACUCAUACGAGUUGGGUUUCUUUUGGCUGGCUGCUUUCUGGCGGGUCUGGGUUCAGCUUAGAUGGCCUUGAUCGUACGGUGGACCUCAUUCUUCAUUGGUGAGUGGGGGUGCCAUCAUUGUACAUUAAAUGCACGCCCCACUUGCCAUGACCUUUGCCCUCUUGGUGAAUUGAAAGAGUGGGGUUUUGGUUCCUGGGAUUUCACACCCUGUUCUCUCCUGACCAGCUGGUCUGAUUGAGUGCUGCCCCACCUCUCUUCUCCCUCUUCUAAUUCGGUUGGGAUGUUGUCAGGUGAACUUUUUUCUAUUAUUGAUAGGGAAUUUUGUGUCUGAGAGGCUUCGCUUGCUUUGUUUUCUUUUUGUGUCCGCUUCUUGGAAUUUGGUUGGCAUGGCUUUGUAGGGAAGUAUAUAAGCUUCUUUUUUUUUUUUAAUCUAUUCUGUGUGGUGAAUUCUCACAUUUCCUUUUGUUUUCUUAAUUCUGAGUUUUUUUUUUUUUAUUCUCUGAUUUGAUUUUGUAUGGUAGACAGAUUUCACAACUGAUUGGAAUUCUUAUUUGGAGGUAAUGAUUAUAUUUAAGCUUUUAUGUUUUCUUUCUUCUCUGUUUCUUUAUCACAUUUAGUUUCAAUCAUGAUUUAGAAUUAGUUUCUUUAGAAAUUUCCUUCAAGAUGACAACUGGGUUUAGUUCUGUUGUUUCUUUCAGAUUUAAUUCAAUCUGGACAGAAAAACUUUUCCUCAGCGGGUUUGAUGCAAAUAUAAAUAAUUAUAAGCAUUAAAGCUGACUGGUUUAUUCUUCGCAUCUAAAUGUUUUUUUUGCAGGAUAUUGCCAAUUACAUGCAUGAUCACAAUGAUGCAGAGGCUACACCGUUCUAUGCAAAUUGCUUGCAUUUGUAUUUAUGGAAUGCGUGAUGCAUUCAUUCAAGGUUUGAACAACAUUAGUUUGUGUGUGACAAUUCACUUCUAAUCCUAUAUACUGGAGACUCGAAAAACAUUAUUUAAUGGGCAUAGCAUGUUAACCAUUUCCUUUCAUCCUUCCACAUUAUUAUGGUGGAAUUUAUAAUAGCAUAAAUAGUUGCAACUUCCAAUAGCCUCGCUAAACAUGUUGCCAUUGCUUUUGAUGGCUGCUGAGAGGUUGUCAGACAAUUUCUUAGGAAGAAGGUUCGGCUGCUGAAAGGUUGUUAUGAUCGAGGUUACUUCAUUGGGGUUGAGCCUUUUGGUUGCGAAUAUGAGGUGGCCUUCCAUUAAUGCAUUUGACAGGGCAUUUAGCAUUUUGUGUUUGUUUCUAUCAGUUUAGGCUAUUAUGAUGCCGCCAGUAUGAAGGCUUCAGGUUAUCUCACUUGCCUUUUGUUUUUGGUUUUACUCCUGUGCUUGCUGUCUUUUUACUUCUUUGUCCACUUAUUCCUCGUGCGAUCUGAAAAGGUGUCUGUUUGUUUUUCUGUUGUCUUUUUAAAUGGUCAAUUCUGGUCUACGUUGUCCAUCUUCGUAAGGGUUUCUUCCUACUCUUUUCCUUUAGCUCAGAUGUUUGUUCUUUUUUAAGAGAGGGAGGCUGUUGUGGUCCUCUGCUUUGUUUGGUAUCUGUCUUCUCUUCUUUUUUGCUGAUUCGAUUGGUUGUUUGAAGGAUUUAACUUUGUCUUGAGUUGCUUCUUUUUUUUUUCUUUUUUUUUCCAGCAGGGGUUGCUUUUGAAGGAGGUAAUUGGCUCUCUCUAUUGGUUCUUCGGUUGAAUAGAUUUUGGGAGAUUCUUACUGAUUAUCAUCCUUUCAGCUGAUUUCAGUAUGGCAUGUCAUGUGAUAAAUUCUUUUAGGUAAUUGAUGCAAACCAGAAACAACCUGGUUACCCCACUGGAGUGUGUUGAAGUAGCAUUAUAGCUAAGGAAAUUUGAUUGUAUCAUGUAAUUUGAACUGCCAUUGUAGUUUAAACUUAUUACCUCCACUUGGAACAAUCAAACUGUAAUAUAUUACCUUUCCACUGUUGUUUCUGGUUUGCAUCAGUUACUCAUAUUUCAUUGAACUAAGUGGGGUAAUUUGCAUCCCAGAUAUCUGUCAGUGCUAAUGGCAGUUCACAUUCUACAAUGGUAAAUUUCAUUGACUUGCAAUAUUGGUACAGGACUAUUCAUCAAAAAGGUCCAGGACUUGCUUGCUAGAGACUAGGUGGUUCAGGUUCAUCAUGCUUACAAGCUGCUGAUUGGCUAGCAAACUUGGGUUUUUUAAAAGGCCACUGGGAAAAGCUGCUACGGAUGCUCCCUCUUCUGGUUUAAUCCCUGUCUUAUUUUAUGAUAUUAUUGGGAGUAUAUCUUUAUUUAUUAAUUGCAUUUGCUUUAACUUUGUAUAUCAAACAUGCAGAGCAUGGAUUCAAAUUUAAUAGAUAGUAAAAGGCAGGGAGCGUGCUAUAUAUAUUGUAUAAAUCAAGAAUUAUGUGAUCUUCAUAUAUAUACACUUAACCGUGUCAGCCCAAUUAAGCUUGUAAUGCAGCUUCAAAUGAGGGAACUAGAAAGAAUGUUUGAUGAAGUACAUUGUCUGUCUUAUACCAUUUUCAUUAUAAUGCUCCAGUUGUAAGUACGAGAGAGAGAUGAAGCCUCUUCAUUCCAUGAUAUCCAAUCUACAUGACCUGAUUUUCAAUUCUUUUCUAUUGUUUCCUAUCCAGAUUAUGAAGUUGAUAAACUAGAAAAUGCAGGCAUCAUCAAAGGAUUUGACUAUUAUUUAUUUCUGGUAAUUAAGAAAUUAGGAGGUGAAAGCUACACUGACUUCCCUCUGUUACUGCAAUUGAAAGUCCUGAUACAAGCAUGUGUUUUUGAAUGACAG
rnacentral:lncRNA from 1 species